CCGGCUUUACCUCAGUUGGUAGAGCGGAGGACUGUAGUUGCUAGCUGUUAUCCUUAGGUCGCUGGUUCGAAUCCGGCAAGCCGGA
rnacentral:tRNA from 1 species